rnacentral:rRNA from 1 species
CAUGCCAAUGGCACUGCCCGGUAGCUAAAUGCGGAAGAGAUAAGUGCUGAAAGCAUCUAAGCACGAAACUUGCCCCGAGAUGAGUUCUCCCUGAGACUUUGAGUCUCCUGAAGGAACGUUGAAGACGACGACGUUGAUAGGUCGGGUGUGUAAGCGUAGCGAUACGUUGAGCUAACCGAUACUAAUGAACCGUGAGGCUUAACCUUACAACGCCGAAG